CUCCUAAUCCUGAAACCCUGAUAAAGGUGGAACGAUACAGAGAAGAUUAGCAUGGCCCCUGCGCAAGGAUGACACGCACAAAUCCAGAAGUGUACCAAGUAUAA
rnacentral:snRNA from 1 species